UGCAGUCGAACGAUGAAGCCUUUCGGGGUGGAUUAGUGGCGAACGGGUGAGUAACACGUGGGCAAUCUGCCCUUCACUCUGGGACAAGCCCUGGAAACGGGGUCUAAUACCGGAUAACACUCUGUCCCGCAUGGGAUGGGGUUGAAAGCUCCGGCGGUGAAGGAUGAGCCCGCGGCCUAUCAGCUUGUUGGUGGGGUAAUGGCCUACCAAGGCGACGACGGGUAGCCGGCCUGAGAGGGCGACCGGCCACACUGGGACUGAGACACGGCCCAGACUCCUACGGGAGGCAGCAGUGGGGAAUAUUGCACAAUGGGCGAAAGCCUGAUGCAGCGACGCCGCGUGAGGGAUGACGGCCUUCGGGUUGUAAACCUCUUUCAGCAGGGAAGAAGCGAAAGUGACGGUACCUGCAGAAGAAGCGCCGGCUAACUACGUGCCAGCAGCCGCGGUAAUACGUAGGGCGCAAGCGUUGUCCGGAAUUAUUGGGCGUAAAGAGCUCGUAGGCGGCUUGUCACGUCGGAUGUGAAAGCCCGGGGCUUAACCCCGGGUCUGCAUUCGAUACGGGCUAGCUAGAGUGUGGUAGGGGAGAUCGGAAUUCCUGGUGUAGCGGUGAAAUGCGCAGAUAUCAGGAGGAACACCGGUGGCGAAGGCGGAUCUCUGGGCCAUUACUGACGCUGAGGAGCGAAAGCGUGGGGAGCGAACAG
rnacentral:rRNA from 1 species